rnacentral:rRNA from 1 species
UACGGAGGGUGCAAGCGUUAAUCGGAAUUACUGGGCGUAAAGCGCACGCAGGUGGCUGAGUCAGUCGAUUGUGAAAGCCCUGGGCUUAACCUGGGAAUUGCAGUCGAUACUACUCAGCUAGAGUAUGGGAGAGGGCAGUGGAAUUCCCGGUGUAGCGGUGAAAUGCGUAGAUAUCGAGAGGAACACCUGCGGCGAAGGCGGGUUGCUGGGCCGACACUGACGCUGAUGCGCGAAAGCCAGGGGAGCGAACGGG